GUGAACGCUGGCGGUAGGCCUAACACAUGCACGUCGAACGGCAGCACAGUAAGAGCUUGCUCUUACGGGUGGCGAGUGGCGGACGGGUGAGGAAUACAUCGGAAUCUACUUUUUCGUGGGGGAUAACGUAGGGAAACUUACGCUAAUACCGCAUACGACCUACGGGUGAAAGCAGGGGAUCUUCGGACCUUGCGCGAUUGAAUGAGCCGAUGUCGGAUUAGCUAGUUGGCGGGGUAAAGGCCCACCACGGCGACGAUCCGUAGCUGGUCUGAGAGGAUGAUCAGCCACACUGGAACUGAGACACGGUCCAGACUCCUACGGGAGGCAGCAGUGGGGAAUAUUGGACAAUGGGCGCAAGCCUGAUCCAGCCAUACCGCGUGGGUGAAGAAGGCCUUCGGGUUGUAAAGCCCUUUUGUUGGGAAAGAAAAGCAGCAGGUUAAUACCCCGCUGUUCUGACGGUACCCAAAGAAUAAGCACCGGCUAACUUCGUG
rnacentral:rRNA from 1 species